rnacentral:rRNA from 1 species
GAUCAUGGCUCAGAUUGAACGCUGGCGGCAGGCCUAAAACAUGCAAGUCGAACGGUAACAGAAAGCAGCUUGCUGCUUUGCUGACGAGUGGCGGACGGGUGAGUAGUGUCUGGGAAACUGCCUGAUGGAGGGGGAUAACUACUGGAAACGGUAGCUAAUACCGCAUAACGUCGCAAGACCAAAGAGGGGGGACCUUCGGGCCUCUUGCCAUCGGAUGUGCCCAGAUGGGAUUAGCUAGUAGGG